CAAAGCCCGUCACUGUGAUCUUCCACCUUAUCAGGUUGGGAUGACCUCAUUAAGAAAAUUACAUCCCACUUUUAUAGAAUGGAAAAAUUCUCCCAGCAAAUUUAGAAACACAGAAACAUACAAGGAUAAUAUACCAGUCAAAUUAUAUAUAUACACACACACACACACCAGAUAAACAGAAACAUAGAAGGAUAAUAUAGCAGUAAAAUUUAUAUAUAUAUAGUAGCUAAAUUUGACUGGUAUAUAUAUAUAAACAAAUAAAUAAAAUACCGGUCAAAUAAAAAAUACAAAAAUCGUCCGAGAAGCCAAAAUGAGACCUAGUAUCUACCUGGUAAUGAAUGCCAACGUAUGAGCAUAAAAUUUCCCCAUGUGGAUUAAGAGACUCUCCCCGCCAAGGACUGAAGCAUCAACAUUGAGUUUGAAAGAGUCAAAAGGGGGUGGCUUCCAUUUGAAAUUUCUUCUGGGAACAGAUUUUGGUUGAUGCUCUUGGCCUUCGACCAUGAGACCCAAACGAAGCAGCACAAUCCCCUCAACAAAGGUUGAGCAAACCUAUUUCAUUUCAUACAAAAUGGACUAGAAGGCAGAUGAUAUUGUCCAGCUCAUCCGAAUUGCACCUUGCGGAGAGGCUAUUAAAAGUGGUUGUGCUACAUGCGUAGAAUAGUUCCCAUAAUGGUUCACAUGCACGUGAUGUGAUGAGAUAUGGUUGAGACUGAAUUUCAAUAGUUAAUGAUAACAAUAUAUUUUAUCGACCCAUAAUUUUUAUUCAUUUUUUAACAAUGUAUUUUAUUAAUUUUUAUCAAAACUUACUUAAAAAUUAAUUUUUAGCUGACCUAAAUAUUCAGAAUUGAGACUCGUUGUCCACCUGGAAAUAUCACUUCCAUGCCACCAAGGAAAUGGCUCCACAUGGUUGAGAAAAUCUACUUUUUAGAUAAAAUCGUAAGCCAACCAAAAGUCAAGGCCGUGGUCGGUUUUCCAUUUUCGGCCCAUUUUCCGUUUUCAGUUUUCGAAAACGCGAAAAACGCUUUUGGUCCGUCUCUUUUGAAAACGCAUUUUCGAAAAUGACUUAAAAUUUAUAACUAAAAACAUAAAACGACUUUCUAUCGUUUUCAGCGUUUUCAGUUAUAAAUGUCGAAAACGCUCAAAAUGCGGAAAAGGGGUCAUUUUCGGGGAAAACUAAAAAUCGUUUUGAAAAUGAAAAUGAAAAAUGAAAAUGCAAACCGACCACUACCUAAGUGACUUGGCGAAUUUCUGUCCACUGGCAGCUGCCUUGAAAUUACCUAAGACCCCUCCUUUGUAAGAAUAAAACUAUAGUGUUUUUGCCCCAUGUGCAUGGCGCGAUGAUAAAGUACGAGGGUUUUCUGCAGAGUAUCGAAUUUUUGCGAUAGUUAAAAGGCAAUAUUUAUUUUGGAAGGUAGAUGUCAUGUGGAAGUAAAGUUAUGAUGCACUUUAACAUCCUUUCGGAGUAGUGUUCGUAUGUCCUAAAGCAAGGUACUGUGGAGGCAAAUUUACUAUGACACUUUAAUAAAUAUCACAAAGAGGUGGCCAUGGAUUACUUUUUUUGUGAUGACCUCAUAGCCAUAAUAGAAUAACAAAGUUAGUGCCUUGGUCACCUCUUAUCAAUAUAAAUCUCCAAAUUUGAAUCAAGCUGAUCGUACCCCUUUAUUGAUAUUAUCCUUGAAACUCGGCACACUUUUAUAGAAUGAAAAUAUAAUUCCCUGUGUCACAUCUGUUAAAACAACUACAGCACACUUUUAUAUAAUGGAAAUUUCACCCAAUAAAUUUCAAUGAACAGAAACACAGUAAGGAUAAUCAAGCAAAAAACCAGUCAAAUUUGGCUACUAAAUAAAAGACGCAAAAAUCCUCUGAGAAGCCAAAAUAAAACCUAGUAUCUACCUGGUAAUGCAUGCCAAUAUAUGAGCAUAAAAAAUUCCAGUAUAAUAGAAUAGAACAGAGUAAAUUCAAACGGUGACAUGUAGGGUUUUAGAUUAAUGAUACUGUCUAUGUUAGUGCGGAAAUGAAGUGUUGAAGAAAAACUUGAAUUUUUAUUGAUAGUUUUUGAGUUGCUACAGCACACUCAAUAAUGUUUUCUUCUUUUUUUUCUUGCAAUGAGACUACAAGAAUGACCUCUAUUUAUAGGACCACAUGGAUAACUCUAGAGACAUGGGAAUAUAAAUGGACACCUAAUAAUUCAUGAAUUUGCAUCAUGUAUUUUCCUGAUACAUUUUCUUCAAGUGCAUUAUGUAUUUUAUUUUCCUGAUACAUUUUCUUCAAGUGCAUCAUGUAUUUUCCUGAUACAUUUUCUUCAAGUGCAUGUAACCUUAUUUAUUUCCUAAGAUUACAAAUUAAUGCCACAUUUAACGGUCUAUUGGCCACAGUGUAACCAUUGCAUAAAAAAAAUAUAUAUAUAUUAUUUUAGUGACCAUUUUGAAAUUUUUAACAAACUUGAAGGAUAGUUGCUAAAAUUAACUCGAUCUCCUCUAAACUUUACAAUUAUUUUAAUCUUUUAUGGAGAAAUGUCCUAAUCAACAUUGCUCAGUUUAUGCCAAGCAACAUGAUAUAGAAACUCACCAAAUCUAAUUUAACUUUUGGAACCUAGUAUAAACCUAUCUAACAAUUAGUUGAUGUGCCAUGUUACUGUUUUUUAGCAUAAGCUAAGUAACGACGCUUAGUAAAUUAUUUUUCUUCUCUUUCCUGAUCACAUAAACGUGAAGAGUAAAUUCUCCUUUUAGCAAUCACCUAGACUCCUUUGUUUCAUUGAUAAAAUAAUACACUAAGUAUUGCAAGGGGACAAUGAUGCACAUAAUAAGAAAAAUAAAUUGUUGUCCAAUCUUUUUCAAUUCUGUGUACCAUAUAUAUAUAUACACACACGUGUGUGAAAUAUGGACUUGCAUGCUCAAUACAAAUAAUAGAGUAGAGAAUUGAUAUUUUAUUUUGAUAGUGUGAAAUGUCAGUUGAAAUAACUAGAUAUUUGCCUUGAAAGAGGUGACUUCGUUUUUACACACACACAUAGUAAAUAGUGUGAUAUUGAUAUGUGAAUUUUUUUUUUUAAAGCAAACAACAACCCUAUUCAUUGUGCACUGUUCAGCAUAACAACUGGGUUUAAACAAUAUGGCAUAUAAUUAGUACAUGAGUGAAACAAUAAAUUAGAAAGAGCAAAUGAGGCCAUGGUGUUGGUAGCAGUAUUCCCUCUUGAGGAGUGAAGCUACACGUCAAUCCCAAUUUUCACCAAAAGUGAAGCAAUCCCACCAGAAGGGAAGCCUUAGACAUGUACUCCGUGUCUGCAUAGAGCUUUGUGUCAAUCGAGGUAGCCACUUUCUAUUUUAAUGAUUCAAAGCCAUUCUAAGCAUCUUCAGCCUCGAACCUCUAUUGAUUUUCGUGGAUUUUUAAUAAGGAUAUUUGAAUGUUUUAACAACGUGCUUUUGUCAUCUCUUUUUUUGUGUGGAUGAUUUUGGAUCUUGUUCAAAGUAUCCUCUCUCUGCAGUCAAAAUGCUUGACGAGGUUUUAAGGACAUGUUAUUUCUUUACUUGUGUAAAAAAAAAAAAAAAAAGGUUAUUUAUUUAGACAAUAACAAAUCAUUUUCAAAUAAAGUUAUUCGUUUUCACCUUUGACAUACAACUUGUUUCUUACUAGUAAACUUACUCCUAUGUAAUAUUUUAGCUUAGCCGAGUAUGAUCAAAUAGAAUUGACUUAUACAUGUUAUAUUUGUUAGGCUUAAUUGUAAUUGGCAAUUCUGUGAACCGAAAGGGUUAAAUUGAAAUACUCUAAAAGUUGAGGAGUCAUGUGCAAUUGUGUAUACAUAUAGUUGGUAGGUUAGGGUUUAACUUCAAAAUAAUGUAAGAAGGACCGUUGCAUUUUCGCUUGAUCCUCACCAACACACUGCUCGAGCGGCACAAACAAAAAGGACGUCACUAGCUUCUCGCCAAGCCCUCACUCAAAUAAAAGACCUCGUUAGCUUUUCGCUGGAUGAUCGCUCAAGCGAUAAUGUUGCCCGUAAAACCCUAAAUUGUGCUUUUCGAGAGUUUUAACAAUUCCAAACUACCCAAAACAUCCUACGUAUAAAUAUCUAUACCAUUUCUCGGAAAAGAUUAGAUUGUCCAUUGUGACAAAAGACUUGCAUCUUUCAAAAAACAUACAAUCCAUUCUUCAUCAAUAUUGGCGACAAAUAAAAAUCAAAACCUGAAAUUCAAACACCAAAUAAAAAGCUUUCGAAGGAUCUAUUAGAGAUUGAAGAUCAAGAAAAGUGAACAAAAUUUCGAUCGUUGGAGAACGGGGAGUUCUCGUGGAAUUCACAAGAGAUAGACGAUAUCAAAAGUCAGGAGUUGGGGUAGGAGCAUGCAAUCCAGGUUGGCUUUUUACAGGAGUUCAGAAAGAACGUGUGUGGGUUUAGUUUGGCAGUACUGUAAGUUCUAUUAGUUUAUAGUGGAUUCAUACUGGCUUGUGCCCAGAGUUUUACCCCGUUGGGGUUUCUCCGUCAUCAAAUUCUCCGUGUUCUUUACUUUCCAACAAUUUUUUAUAUUGCGAUAAUUCAACAUAGGAUAGAUUGCAUGUAAAUUGGAUUGGACUAAUGAAUAAUCAUACUAUGCUACAAUUGUUAAUUGGAAUUUGUUUAAAUUCCGUAAACACCUAUUCACCCUCUUCUAGGUAUUAUUUGGAUCGAACUGUGUAACUAUCAAUGUUGAUUCGAUUAAUUGGCUUCUUGUGCUCAUAAUUGUCUUCCUUGACAAGAAAGUAAUCAUAUGCCACUUUUCCCCUAGUAACAAGUGUAAUAAUUAUUGACUAUAUGUAAUACAUCAAUCAGGAAUUUCAAGUAUCAUCUUAUUCACAAUCUCUAUAAUGUGGAAAUAAUAGAUACGAGGUUUAUUUACUUACCAGGAUCCAUGUGAUGAAUAAGGAAAAAAAAUGAUGUAGUUUUUAUGUCAAGAUCAUCUGCUAAGCCAGUCCUCACUCAUGUAAAAACACACGGUAUAUAUUAUGCAUAAUAACUCGGUUAAUAAAUAUGAUAGUGGUACAAUAUAAUGAUGAUGAGAGCCCUACACUACCUAGAAGGAACAUGGACUUAGAAUGGAAAACAUGUGACGUUCUUAAUUGCAAGAUGCUUAUUGUCUCCCACCAUAGAAGUUUCAAACGAAAAUUUAUGAAGGAAUUCUUACAAAUGUACUUCACCAUCAAAAUUUAAUCUUCUUAUAUAUUAUUAUAAUUGACAUGGUCCUUAAACUACUUUGAUUGAUCUAACUCUUUGGUUCACAUAUAUGGAUGACUGUGUAACUUGGCAUACUUGUGGUUGAUUGAUGUGUUUCCCCCAUCUUGAUAGCGGGCUGUUAAUUUCAAAACAAGGAAAGUAGGUUUUUGGUGAUUUUUGAUGAUGGAUGAAUGAAAAACAUGAAAUUAGCAUACGGUGACCGUUCGAAAUGGUUAAAUUUGACGAAUAUCUUUUUUUGACUGUAUUAAUACAUUACUAUAUGUUAUUACUGUUUUAUUGCAAAACUGAUUGUUUGAACUUAUAACAUAACUAGAAUAUCUUUAUGCACUUGUUGAUACUUAUAAUCAACCGUCUUAUUGGGGGAAAAAAAAAAUACUACUACCAUAAUUUAGAAAAUAUUUGACGUAUUAUUCAACAUGAAUGGGGAGGAUAAUUUAAAUGAGCGGAAAGUGCAAGCAAGUAUAUGAUCCACCAUCUCAACUCAUUUAUGGGUUGCAUGAUGGCACAAAAGAUAGCCUCCAUCACGUGAAUGUCUUUAAUUCCUCACCACACCUACCCUCAAUAGUUGAGGUAGGACUUUGGUACACUUAGAUAUGUCUUUCCAAUCUAAAUAAAUAUGUUCUCGCUGCAACAGGGAUUCUAUGGAUGCACCAUGUACUAAACCUACCAAACCACAUGCAAAGCCCGUCACUGUGAUCUUCCACCUUAUCAGGUUGGGAUGACCUCAUUAAAAACCUGCAACUAACACCCGGGCCUUCAAGAGGGCGUCGAAUUUCCAUAUUUUCCUGUACCAAGCUGAGGUGAGCAAAGGGCCACCUGGAUUGUUCCCCAUGAAAGACAUUAGGAGGUACUUAAUUAUAUGAGUUUUUUUUUAUGUUUUAGUAAGUAUUUAUCUAUUAAAUAAAUUCGGAUUUUAAUUCUAUUUAUUUUGAAUUUAGGAAUUUAAUUAUCGUCAUUAUCUUCUAAUUUUAAUAAUUAUCUAGAUUUGAUUAGUAGUUAUCUAAAUUUUAGUUAUUUCUUUAAAUAAAGGUUGUUGGAGCAUCUCCAAAAAACUUUUUAAAUACAAUAUGUUCUUUAUUUUGAAGAGAUAAUUCUUAAAAAUAAACUUCAAAACACUCUCUAUUUUAACUUUUAGUGGUCUCUAAUGUAAAUUACAGGAAUUACUGCACAGUUCAAAACACAAAUAUGCUUUUAUUUACCACUCUCUCUUUACAGUUGUAUCUUGAUUAAAGUCAUCUUUAUGUGGCCAGAUAUCAGUAAGUCAAAUGCAAAUACACUGUUAGUUUUGUUUUUUGCAGUUUCCGAACUCAAGGACCUCAUUUGUUCAGGAGGUUUGUGUGGAGAUAUGUAGCAUAUCUAUAAAUGCUUAACAUAUGAGUCCAUAAUCCAGGCUAAAUAAUCACUCGUGUGAUUAUUGAGUAAAAAUGCAGCUCCUUUUUGAACCAGUUCUUAUCCAUAGAGGUAAAGGGAAGUUUAGUUUGAAAAGGCAGAAAAAUCAUUGAUUGGAAAUUACUUGCAUCUAUCUGUACUUUUGGAAUGUCCUUCGGAUAUUGUUAUUUAGUUGGAGUAGUUUCUUUUGGUAUAAAUAUUGACUUGAAAGUAUCAUGCUAUGGAGUUGUUGCAGCUGCAUAAAUUGAGUAUACAGAAGGAAAAUGCUAAUUUUUUUGAAGAAACUUCAUAUUUUCUUCCGUCCCACCUCUUUUGGCUAUAUUCAGUUGAUGUUUACUCAGAUGUAAUAAUGUCUCUUUGUAGGGUUGCGGAACUUCACUGAAAAAUAUCCCAUCAAGGGAAGAACUUUUUCAUUGAGAAUUGUAUCAAAUAUCACAAAAUUAUCGUUUCUUUUCUUUUGUUCCGAUUUUUAUUUUUGGUGCAGAGAGAAUCAUGGACAACAUUACUGAUAUUGGCUUACCAUAGUUCGGGUGUAGUGUAUGGGGAUUUAAGCAGUUCACCUUUGUUUGUUUUCAGUACUUUUGCAGAGGACCUUUAACAUUCAGAGUCUAAUGAGGAGAUUUAAAGGAUUUUAUCUUUUGUAUCUUUGGCAUCAACUCUUAUUCCAUUGCUUAAGUACGUUUUUAUAGUGAAUAGAGCGGAUGAUAAUGGUGAAGGUAGGACUUUUGCUUUGUAUCUCUACUCUGCCGCCAUGCUCAAGUGAGUACUCUACACAACGGACAGCUGGCCAAUGAGGAUUAGUAAUAUUACGAAAGAGAGGAAAUUUCAUCACCUAAUGGAGUGGUCUUGGAUUGGGAUUGAGCUUAUGAUCAAAAUUGGAGAAGCACAGAUAGUUGCAGAAAAUAUUGUUGCAUUUGGCCUUAAUUGGAAAUGGAGUUCUUACUCCUACAAUUUCUCAUAUAAAAUGAAAAUUUGCCUAUUUUUGUCAUAAUUGGAAAUUCCAACUGACAAGUGAUUAUUUUGCUCAUUAUGCAGUGUCUUCUGCACUUUCUAGGUUAGAGCUUGUAGUGUCAAAGCUCCAUCAGCAAUCAUCAAGAUGGUUGAUCUUAUUGGGUAUAUCAACUAUGGUCAGCACCCACACUCUGGAAUUUUAAAUUGCUUUUCAUUUAUGUUGACGAAAUUAGAUGUCCUUAUUGGAAGAUGAAGUCAAUUCUUAAUGGUGUUGAUGAAUUCGAAGUUGUUCCAAAAGCUUACUCACAAUUGACUAAAAAUUCUUUAAAGACGAAACUCUGCUGAUUCUUAUUUUCUAUAUUCCAAAAUUAUACUUUUGAGGUGAGCAACAACUAUACCCAUAGAUAUUGUGGGUUGUACACACCUUAUACCCAAUAUUUGGAAUCAACUUAUGAAUGUAAACAAGACUUUGUUCUUCCUGCUAAUCAUGAAUAUGCCUUUUUCUUUAGGCUCAUAAUGAUGCCAUUGAAGUUGAUGCGAAUUUGCCAAGGCGUUGGGUUAAUUCACAGUUAAUUGCUUUUGAUUUUUUGGAAGCAAUCUAGAUCCUUUUGGAUGAGUUAAUAUUGGAAUGAGCUACUGUUGUUUAUUUUUGCAAAAUUCUUACGAAUAAUUUAUUGUGUUACUAUUUAUGUUGCCG
rnacentral:lncRNA from 1 species